rnacentral:rRNA from 1 species
GAUGAACGCUGGCGGCGUGCUUAACACAUGCAAGUCGAACGGAAAGGCUCCUGCUUGCAGGGGUACUCGAGUGGCGAACGGGUGAGUAACACGUGGGUGAUCUGCCCUGCACUUCGGGAUAAGCCUGGGAAACUGGGUCUAAUACCGGAUAGGACGAUGGUUUGGAUGCCAUUGUGGAAAGUUUUUCGGUGUGGGAUGAGCUCGCGGCCUAUCAGCUUGUUGGUGGGGUAAUGGCCUACCAAGGCGUCGACGGGUAGCCGGCCUGAGAGGGUGUACGGCCACAUUGGGCCUGAAGUGCGGCCCAGCCCCCUAGGGGGGGGGACGGGGGGAAAUUUUGCACAAGGGGCGCAGGCUUGAUGCAGCGGCGCCGGGGGGGGGAUGGCGGCCUUCGGUUUGUAAACUCCUUUCGCUGGGGACGAAGCGCAAGUGACGGUCCCGGGAAAAAAAGCCCCGGCUAACUACGUG